rnacentral:rRNA from 1 species
UGCCAGCAGCCGCGGUAAGACAGAGGGUGCAAACGUUGCUCGGAAUUACUGGGCGUAAAGCGCGUGUAGGCUGAUUCGUUAGUCGGGUGUGAAAUCCCUGGGCUCAACCUAGGAACUGCAUCCGAAACUGCGAGUCUUGAGUGUUGGAGAGGGAAGCGGAAUUCCUGGUGUAGAGGUGAAAUUCGUAGAUAUCAGGAGGAACACCGGUGGCGAAGGCGGCUUCCUGGACAAUUACUGACGCUGAGACGCGAAAGCGUGGGGAGCAAACAGGAUUAGAUA